UUACCACCGGCUAAAUCUAUGAUGUUAAAAUGCCUAUUUGCUCUGUUCCACCUAACUGCGCAAUCCACUGUCGCAUCAGCCAAGGCAGGUGUGUUUAUACCAGGUACACCCACAACUGGCAGUGGCAUUACAAGAGAUGUUACCAUAACCGUCUACUGUGUGCCUCAUACCACCUAGGAGCCUCCUAGACUGAUCAAUCCUGAAGUUACACAAUGAAGGUCACUGUUGACGUCCCAAUGUCCAAAGACCCAGAGGUUAAACUUCCCCUGGUUAUCCUCCUGGACAAAUGAAAAGCAGCUGAGAAUGGCAGAAAGAAUACAUCUUGACCAAAUGUCCUCCUAUAAGAUCCUGGUCCUGGUCGUUGAUGCCCAUAGGAUGUAAGACUAAAGCUGGUGGUCUGUGCCUGUAUCCAUUAAACAUCUCAGAACAGGAGUACUGACCUAUGACCUGUUUUCCCUUUUAGAUCACUAUGGACAGGGAUUAUUAUGGACAGGGAGGACCUGAUGCUAGAUCAGCACUCCUACUAUGAGCUGCUUUGUGGAUACGGGCUCAGUUUCCCAUAAUCUCUGUUGUUUUGAAACACUGUCUGUCACUGUCACAAUGUCUGUAAUUAUGUUAUUUUGUCACAUAUAUCAGUUAUUUCCCAACUCUUGAAUUAAGGAAGUUAUGACACAAUUUCUGCUUGUCUCGGAUCUUUCAGUUACAGUAUAAGAUUGUUGAAGUCAUUUUUCCUGGUCUCCACUAGAUGGGGAUAUAGGUAAAGCUGUGUAAGAGCAGUGACAGAGCAGGGACUAGUGUAAUCUGAUUUAUUAUCUGAUGCUCAUUUUUCUUGUCAGCUAAGGAAAUGUGCCACUUGAUUUUUUAAGAAUAAUGUUUCAUUUUAAUCUUCAUUUUUUUUCAUCCAAUCACUGGGAUUACAGUUUUUGUUGUUGAAAGAA